rnacentral:lncRNA from 1 species
CGAUGUAUUAAGGUUCCCAGAUUAUUGCCUCUUUCGAGAAAACAUUAUACAAGCAGUUUCUAGUUUCCUAGCAGGCGUUUAGACUGCUUAUUAGUUUUAGAAAGAGAAGAAUAGGAGUUGGCCCAUUUCACAUUAUCCAAACGCUCUAUGAAGAUUAGCUCAUUAAUCCUCAUUGUCUCCUCCAGAGAAUUGUUAUCCUUAUUUUUCAGCCGUGGAACUGAAACAAAGUGGUGGACCGAGGGGCCUAGCCCAAGGCUACACAGCUGGUCAGUGGAGAAAUCAGCAUGCCGCUGGCAUCCUCUCUGAGGGAAGGAGAUGCCUGGGGCCUCGGGCAGGGUGCUGGCACAGCCCGAGGGGAGCUGCUGGGAGCCCCAGCCUGGGAGCACAGCAAGCUGAUGACUGAGAACUGUGAUCAUGUAGACCGCCGCUGGGUUGAAGGAUGCCUUCUAGAGUUGUCUGAGCCGUGGAAUGAUAGUCAAAUUAAUAAUGGUGCUAAUAACAAGACCCUGAUGGCCUCAGUGGAUGGUGAGGAGAAGAAUGGAGGAAAGGGAGCACAUCCAUGGUGAUUCAGUAAAUACCGUUGCUAGCUUCUCACAGCGGUAUUUUGUCCUGUCUUCAAGUACCUGUUAUAGAGGCUGGUAGUUGCUGCCAUUCUCUGAGAAUAGUCACCCUGGGAAAGAGUUGUCGGUAGAUGUGGUGGAGGAGGCAGACCACAGAGGGUAACUGAGCUUCUCAGGAGAGCCUGGAAGUUGCCCGAAAGGGAGAUUUGAAUCCACUAUUAUUUUAUGAGCUAAGACCAUCAAUUACUCCUUGUGAAUUGAGAGAAGGUUCUAAUUUCAGUGCCUGGGGGUUUGGGUUACUUGAGUGACAACUUCUCCAGAAAUCAAGUUAGGAUCAGGCAAUAAAUGCAACCCUUAAAUAAUAAACAUGAAUAAAACAAGAAGAACCCUGGGUCACAUAUAAUUUUCACUUAAAUGUCCAGUUGAAAAGACUGUUGGAUUCCUAUUGAUUUUUAAAAUGAGUCUGGUAAUGUUUAUCAGUGCUAUUUUAAUUCAAUGAAUCUACCACUUAACUUUCUGCAGCAUAACAAAGGGGAAACAAGUGAGUGUUCAUGCAGAG